GACGAAGGGGGCUAGCGUUGGUCGGAAUUACUGGGCGUAAAGCGAGUGUAGGUGGUUGUCCAAGUUGGAUGUGAAAGCCUUGAGCUCAACUCAAGAAAUGCAUUCAGGACUGGGCGGCUAGAGGACCGGAGAGGAUAGUGGAAUUCCCAGUGUAGUGGUGAAAUACGUAGAGAUUGGGAAGAACACCAGUGGCGAAGGCGGCUAUCUGGACGGUUUCUGACGCUGAGGCACGCAGGCCAGGGGAGCAAACGGG
rnacentral:rRNA from 1 species